GACGAACGCUGGCGGCGUGCUUAACACAUGCAAGUCGAACGGUGAAGGGAUCAGCUUGCUGGUUCUGGAUGAGUGGCGAACGGGUGAGUAACACGUGAGUAACCUGCCCCCUUCUUCUGGAUAACCGCAUGAAAGUGUGGCUAAUACGGGAUAUUCUGGGUCUGUCGCAUGAUGGGUCUGGGAAAGAUAUUGUUUCGGUGGGGGAUGGGCUCGCGGCCUAUCAGCUUGUUGGUGGGGUGAUGGCCUACCAAGGCGGGGACGGGUAGCCGGCCGGAGAGGGGGGACGGUCACACGGGGACUGAGAAAAGGGCCAGACUGCUACGGGAGGCAGCAGUGGGGAAUAUUGCACAAUGGGAGCAAGCCUGAUGCAGCGACGCCGCGUGAGGGAUGGAGGCCUUCGGGGUGUAAACCUCUUUCGCCAGUGAAGCAGGCCUGCUCCUUGUGGGUGGGUUGACGGUAGCUGGAUAAGAAGCGCCGGCUAACUACGUG
rnacentral:rRNA from 1 species